AGGCCUCAAACAUGCAAGUCGAGCGCCCAGCAAUGGGAGCGGCGGACGGGUGCGUAACACGUGGGAACGUACCCUUUGGUUCGGAACAACGCAGGGAAACUUGCGCUAAUACUGGAUAAGCCCGAAAGGGGAAAGAUUUAUCGCCAAAGGAUCGGCCCGCGUUCGAUUAGCUAGUUGGUGGGGUAAAGGCCCACCAAGGCAACGAUCGAUAGCUGGUCUGAGAGGACGAUCAGCCACACUGGGACUGAGACACGGCCCAGA
rnacentral:rRNA from 1 species